UGGGGAAUUUUGGACAAUGGGCGAAAGCCUGAUCCAGCAAUGCCGCGUGUGUGAAGAAGGCCUUCGGGUUGUAAAGCACUUUUGUCCGGAAAGAAAUCCUUGGCUCUAAUACAGUCGGGGGAUGACGGUACCGGAAGAAUAAGCACCGGCUAACUACGUGCCAGCAGCCGCGGUAAUACGUAGGGUGCAAGCGUUAAUCGGAAUUACUGGGCGUAAAGCGUGCGCAGGCGGUUUGCUAAGACCGAUGUGAAAUCCCCGGGCUCAACCUGGGAACUGCAUUGGUGACUGGCAGGCUAGAGUAUGGCAGAGGGGGGUAGAAUUCCACGUGUAGCAGUGAAAUGCGUAGAGAUGUGGAGGAAUACCGAUGGCGAAGGCAGCCCCCUGGGCCAAUACUGACGCUCAUGCACGAAAGCGUGGGGAGCAAACAGGAUUAGAUACCCUGGUAGUCCACGCCCUAAACGAUGUCAACUAGUUGUUGGGAUUCAUUCCUUAGUAACGUAGCUAACGCGUGAAGUUGACCGCCUGGGGAGUACGGUCGCAAGAUUAAAACUCAAAGGAAUUGAC
rnacentral:rRNA from 1 species